rnacentral:rRNA from 1 species
AAUCCUGGCUCAGGACGAACGCUUGCGGCGUGCCUAAGAAAUGCAAGUCGAGCGGGGGGGCGCAAGCCCCCUAGCGGCGAACGGUCGCGUAACACGUAAGCAACCUGCCUCCAAGACCGGGACAACACUUCGAAAGGGGUGCUAAUACCGGAUGUGGUCCAGGGAAGGCCUCUUCUCUGGACUAAAGCAGGCAACUGGCUUGGAGAGGGGCUUGCGGCCUAUCAGCUAGUUGGUGGGGUAACGGCCUACCAAGGCGACGACGGGUAGCUGGUCUGAGAGGACGAUCAGCCACACUGGAACUGAGACACGGUCCAGACUCCUACGGGAGGCAGCAGUGGGGAAUUUUGCGCAAUGGGCGAAAGCCUGACGCAGCAACGCCGCGUGUGUGAUGAAGGUCUUCGGAUUGUAAAGCACUUUCGACCGGGACGAAACCUUCAUGGCCAAUAUCCAUGAACUGACGGUACCGGGAGAAGAAGC